GGAAACUGGGGCUAAUCUCCCAUAGGUUUAGGGCACUGGAAGGUCCCUAAACCGAAAGGGGCUCUGCCCGCCCGAGGAUGGGCCGGCGGCCGAUUAGGUAGUUGGUGGGGUAACGGCCCACCAAGCCCAUAAUCGGUACGGGCAGUGAGAGCUGGAGCCCGGAGAUGGACACUGAGACACGGGUCCAGGCCCUACGGGGCGCAGCAGGCGCGAAACCUCCGCAAUGCUCGAAAGAGCGACGGGGGGACCCCAAGUGCCGUGGUACAACCACGGCUUUUCCGGAGUGUAAGAAGCUCCGGGAAUAAGGGCUGGGCAAGGCCGGUGGCAGCCGCCGCGGUAAUACCGGCGGCCCGAGUGGUGGCCACUAUUAUUGGGCCUAAAGCGUCCGUAGCCGGGCUUGUAAGUCCCUGGCGAAAUCCCACGGCUCAACCGUGGGGCUUGCUGGGGAUACUGCAAGCCUUGGGACCGGGAGAGGCCGGGGGUACUCCUGGGGUAGGGGUGAAAUCCUAUAAUCCCAGGAGGACCGCCAGUGGCGAAGGCGCCCGGCUGGAACGGGUCCGACGGUGAGGGACGAAGGCCAGGGGAGCAAACCGGAUUAGAUACCCGGGUAGUCCUGGCUGUAAAGGAUGCGGGCUAGGUGUUGCUUGGACCUCGAGUCCAAGCAGUGCCGCA
rnacentral:rRNA from 1 species